rnacentral:lncRNA from 1 species
AGGGAGGGACAAGGGGGAGGACGAAAUAGGGAAUGAGGAGAGGGCGGCAACGGAGAGGUAUUAGUCUCAGUAAAGCACAAACGAUUGGUUCAUAAAUCUAAAUUAUGUGCAUAUACUAUUUAAGAACCAUGGCAUUAGCAUUUUUUAUUAGAACCAAAGAUAACUAAUUAAUGUUACUCAAACAAGUGACACAGGAGUCAAGUGCAUGUGUCCCAAAAAGCCACUAACUUGGGAUACUAUAUAUAUGUGUGUGUGUAUAUGUAUAUAUAUGUAUGUAUGUA